GCGGUUUGCAGUGCUUUUGUAGCGAUACAAAGGAUUUAAUCAAUGUUAAAGGCAGAAAAUAGCACAAUUAACAAAGAUGAUUGCUAGCUAAAAAACCACAGGCUAUUACACUGUUUAAAUUUAAAUAUUUGUUAUGCUUUUACAACAUAUACCUUCCCAUUGAUAUAAAUAAUUAAUUAUUCACAGUGUUUGGCACCAAAAGUUACUAAAUCCCAUCGCUCAAAAACUUUCGAAAGUUUUCGGAAACACGAGGAAAAGUUAAAAACAGAUUUUUAAUUAAACAUAAUUGAUAAUUCACUCAAAAAGUCAAGAAAUAGUGAAACUUUCGUCUGCACUAAUGCACUUGGAUGAAUAUUUAAGUUGUUCGGAAAAAAUCCUUAGAUUUUUUCUCUUCCUUGGAUUUUCCUUUUCGACACUAGAAUUUCCUUAGAAAAGGAAAUUUCCUUGAAAAUGGAAGCACUGACUUAGCCUCCCUUUGGCCUGCACGCGGGCUAACAAACACUGCAACCCGCCCUAUAAAAUUUUGAAUAUGAUUAACUCCGGGACGGACCAUUAGAUAUUUGGCGGGAGGGGGAGGGGGGGCAAUUUUUCUGUGCACGAAUUUUUUUUCAACCCCCAAUUGCUUGCAAGAAUUUUUUUUCUGCAACAUUCCUUUGGACAAUAUUUUUUUUAACAUAACCUAAAAAAUUUUUCCCAGAAAGUUCGUCGACGGGAG